CCUACGGGUGGCAGCAGUGGGGAAUAUUGCACAAUGGGGGAAACCCUGAUGCAGCGACGCCGCGUGAGUGAAGAAGUAUUUCGGUACUUAAAGCUCUAUCAGUAGGAAAGAAAAUGACGGUACCUGACUAAGAAGCCCCGGCUAACUACGUGCCAGCAGCCGCGGUACUACGUAGGGGGCAAGCGUUAUCCGGAUUUACUGGGUGUAAAGGGAGCGUAGACGGCAGCGCAAGUCUGGAGUGAAAUGCCGGGGCCCAACCCCGGAACUGCUCUGGAAACUGUGAAGCUGGAGAGCAGGAGCGGUAAGCGGAAUGCCUGGUGUAGCGGUGAAAUGCGUAGAUAUCAGGCAGAACACCGACGGCGAAGGCGGCUUACCGGGCUAUAACUGACGUUGAGGCUCGAAGGCGUGGGGAGCAAACAGGAUUAGAUACCCCGGUAGUC
rnacentral:rRNA from 1 species